GCAUUGCUGAAGAGUCCCACAAUAGGACUAAACUGACGUCCAGUGC
rfam:Schistosoma rodhaini strain Burundi genome assembly, scaffold: SROB_scaffold0001100